rnacentral:ribozyme from 1 species
UCUCUUUUUUUUUUUUUUUUUUGUUCUUUUUGCCACAGCAAUUGGCUGUGCAAUUGUAGCCAAGAACCACAA